UAUAAGACUUUGAACAAGACAAGAUUUUCAUAAAAGGAACUUGGUAGAGAGCAUCGAUUUGGUGGAAAGAUGUAAGUGAAUUAUGAAAGUUAUCCCUUGCGAGUUGGUUUCUCGAAAAGAGUAGGGAAAUCCGCGGAUUCGGCGUUAACGAGAUAUCGUAUUGAUAGAUACGAAAAGUGGUGAGAAAUCACAAACUGAGUGGUACCGCGGAACGUUAGCUUUCGUCUUAGUA
rnacentral:ncRNA from 1 species